GAGUCUAAGGCUAAUGAUGAAAAAGGACCACAAAUCUCAGCCUUGUAAAUGGUUUUUCUGCAUGGAAAAUUAUUUUCAAAUAGCCAAUUCUGAUCAGCUCUCAUUUGCAUUCCCAUCCUUCCCAGAAUGAGCACUGCCUCCUUUUCAGCAUACUGCCAUUAAGGCAUCUCUAUGUGGAACAGAUGUGUUCACCAGGGAAAUUACUUAGGAACAGAUGUCCUUUUUGAAAUCCAUGUCGUGGAUUUUCCAACUCAGAUAUGACUGUUGAAAUGGCUUUUCCUACAAGCUGUACUACUAACGAUUCCUCUCAACUACUGUUGGAAAAACUGUAGAAGAAGAGAUAGCUUCUGACAUGCAGUUGCCCAUCCAUGGACAGAGCUAGCAGAGCCAGUGGGUCCCAACCAGCUGAGAGAAGAAAGCCCACCUACAGCACCUAGGAAGCACAGUCUACAUCACAGCAUCAUGCCUUUUAGGCCUCUUAACAUGAGUUUGCCCAGAGAAGCAGACACCAGAGCUCUAUUAUCCUCAUGGUGAAAGAAUCGAACUCUCUCCAUGGGAACAGACAGGAAAAGUCACUUUAACCAGGAAAUAUCCUGUUCUGUCUCAAGAGGCCAUGAUGUAUCUUUUAGGCAGAGGCUGAUAACGAACCAUGAUAGUAGAUCUCUGAAUAAAUGAGAGUAAAACAAA